UCACAUCCACAUUAAUGUGCUAAUAUAUCCCAAUUUAAAGUCUCCAAGAGAAACAGACAAACGAAAUACAAUGUUCAAGUCUUCAAGUUAACUGAGCUUGAAUAUCCUAAUAACAAAUUCAAGUAGCUCGCUAUCCUAAUCAAGCAUUCUAUUUAUGAUAUGUAGAUUUUCUAAUAUCAAGUUAGUAUUUUUCAGUUAAAUACAAAGGUAUACUUAAAACCCCAAACAUAAAU